AGGUAAGUCAGAGGAGGUCAGCAGGAGAAGCAAACGGUGGGAGGAGGAAAGCAGUCUCCGUCUCCCUCUCUGCCCUUUGAAACAAGAGGGUCUCUUUUCUUCUUUGCAGCCCCUAACCCAGAGAAGGCUGGGUAAGCGCAUUGUACAAACAAGGGAAGAAAAGAGCUUUGUUUUGGGAAAUUUCCACCUCUGAGCAGUUGAGGUUGAGUUGUGGAUUUGGAAGAGAAUGGUCGGGGUGUAAGUCGUCAAAGUGGGGCAUCACUCAGGUGAGUAAGGUGCCUUGGUUUUCCAUUGCUUUUGUAACAGGAAACUCUCCCGGGACUUUAUCAACCCAGUGUCUCCCUUUGUUUUAGCAAGGGGUGCAGUGUGUUGGGGAUUGAUGGGGGGUGGCUAAUAAUGGAGCUCUCUGUGGCCAGGGUGCAAGGUGUGAGUUGUGCUGAGUUGUCUGUAAAGGGACUGAGGACUGGGCAUGUGGGGAAAACUCCCAGCUCACAAUACCAGCUCGUCUUCAGGAAAAAUCCACAGAUAAUCUAGCUACAAGGUCGAGUUUAUGUGGGUUCAACUCACUAAUUUUCUGACUUUGCCUGUUAAUGGUUGCAGACCCUGGGAAACAGCUCCAUGGCCAUGCAGGGCCUCACCCCAUACUGUUGCACAGCAGGCAGCAUGUCUACUCUGGUGACAGCACCAGGUGGGGCUCUGGCCAAGGUGGCAUGGCACAGAGCACAGAGAAGCCCCGGACCAGGGACUGGCUUUGCGCUGUGGGUCUCAGGGUGUCCCCGUGGCAGUGUGAGUGGCAGGUGCCCCUGCACCAGGAAGCGGGAUGUAGACGUUGAGUCAAGUAGCACAUCAGCUGUCGCCCGUCUGGGGGGGGUGAACACCGUGGCCCAUAGCUCCUCUUUGUGUGGAGAAGAAGGAAGUGGGAAUUCUUCAGGGCCAGGCUCUCAGGGCCUGGCAUGCCCAGCCCUGAAAGGACAUUCGAGUUUCUGGGCCUGGCAGGGGCGCUUUAGCCUCCCCCACAGUAAAGGACCAGCCCCCACAUUUGCCGCCCGAGCUGCAGACCUGUCCGCAGCGCACGUUGAGGUACGGCCUGAACACACAGGGAAACUUGCUGUGUGCUCACAAAAAAAAGGUGUGCAUGUUUCUGCCUUGCUGGCACUCAACUCGGUGUGCUCAUCGCCCAAGGACAUUUAUGAGUAGUCACCAAAGAACAGGCAUCCAGGUCUGAGAGGAAAAGAAAACCUCUCGGACCGCGGAGAGCAGGGGGCGAGCUCCUGUCGGAUGGGCGAGGGCUCCGGGAGAAGGUGACAAGGGAGCCAACGCCUGGAAAGAACAACGCUGGAC
rnacentral:lncRNA from 1 species